CUUGUAGGCGGUCCGUUAAGUCCGAUGUGAAAUCUCCCGGCUCAACUGGGAGAGGUCAUUGGAUACUGGCGGACUAGAGGGGGGUAGAGGAAAGCAGAAUUCCUGGUGUAGCGGUGAAAUGCGUAGAUAUCAGGAGGAAUACCAGUGGCGAAGGCGGCUUUCUGGGCCUACCCUGACGCUGAGGAGCGAAAGCGUGGGGAGCAAACCGGAUUAGAUACCCGGGUAGUCCACGCCCUAAACGGUGGAUGCUAGGUGUGGGGGGUGUCGACCCCCUCCGUGCCGCAGCUAACGCUUUAAGCAUCCCGCCUGGGGAGUACGGCCGCAAGGCUAAA
rnacentral:rRNA from 1 species